AAGUCGCGAAAUGAAGUGAACAUUAGGAUGAUGGCACUUCUGCAGGACCCGCCGGGAAGGCGUAGCGGCGUAGCAAGGACAGGCUUCAGGAUGAAGCACAGGAUAACGCAGGAUGGCGUAAAGGACACCUCCAGGAUGGAGAACGUGAGCCGCUCAUGAUGAACGGUGGAUCAGGAAGAUCGGGAUAGACUUAAGGACAGGUAAUUUCACAUCGGGGUGGUGUGAAAGCAGGACGCACUGGUUUAUGGAUGAACAUGGUCAGGAGACCUCAGGAAAAGUUUUCACGGACGAGCAGGGAGCACCAAUGUAGCUGGAUUGCUGCGAAACGAACCGGGAGCACUGUUUAUACAGUGCUCCCUUUUUUUAUU
rnacentral:other from 1 species